rnacentral:rRNA from 1 species
GGCCAUAUAACAUUGAAAAACCAAUUCUUGUACGAUCACCAAAGUUAAGCAACAUUAAGCCAGAUCAAUACUUAGAUGGGUGACCGCCGGGGAACACCAGGUGCUGUAA